rnacentral:lncRNA from 1 species
UUGCCAUCCCAACUUCUUUCCCAUUGAUGUGACUUCAUAAUUCUUGCACUGUGCAUUGGUGAUAAAUCACCUUUUAUUGAAGCAUCUGCUCGGCAUUGGUUUAUGAAAUCCUCUUCUUCCCCUUCUUCGUAUAUAUGAUUUCCUGCGCAACUAAUUUUUGGCAAUUCUUGACUUACACCUUGGGUUGUUAAUUGUGCAUUAUUCAAGACAGAACUACCAGGAAUAAUGUUGGUUUCUGUAUUCACUAUUACUUCCAAGAUUUGCUUUUCCUCAG